GCACAACUCAAAACGAAGUCGUCGCGGCUUGUUGACCCUUUUAGAAGCUGCACAUUAGCUUUUGACUGUAGGUUUGCAGUUGUUAUUUACCAGAAUUGUGAGGGCGGUAUUUCACAAACAGGAACAGUCUAAUUCUACCUCCAUGGUCUAAUCAGGAGCUUAACAAUCAACAUACAGGUAGAGAAAGGUUCAGGAAAGGUUUAUAAUUCACAAGCCGCUAAUCACUGUCCAUCACUGGAGCAAGUCUGAACAAGAGACUCUUUCACAGCCCUGUUCUGUAAAAUUAUGGAAAAGGAGAAAAAGGAGGACAGAAUGAAGAGGAGGGAACGAGAGAUCAGAGUCAUCUAUCUCUACAUUAGGCUACUCGGUUAUGGCAACUGAGAAAUCAUACAUAUGACGUCUCUACAUGACUCUUAUUCCUUAAUUGAUCUUCAUCAAACCUUCAUCAAUAUUUUUUACAUUGCUUCUAUUUUAUUAAAAUGAACUUAUACCCCGGGGUGACCUUUCCGUUACUGUUAGUAGAUGAACUGGUACUUGCAGACAAAUAAGAUAGUGGCCAAUUGGAAAGUAGAUGAAGACAAAGAGGCAAAUGACCUAUUUAAGUACUGUAUGUGAGUCUUUGUAUGCAUCUUUAAUAAUAAUGACGAUGAUGAUGAUGAUGAUAAUAAUAAGAAUAAUAGAAUAAUAGUAAUAAUAAUAAUGAUGAUGAUGGUGAUGAUGGUGAUAAUGAUGAUGGUGAUGACGAUGGUGAUGAUGAUGUUGGUGAUAAUGAUGAUGACGAUGAUAAUGAUGGUGAUAAAGAUGGUGAUGAUGAUGAUGGUGAUGGUGAUGGUGAUGAUGACGACGAUGAUGAUGAUGAUAAUGGUGAUGAUGAUGACGGUGAUAAUGGUGAUGGUGAUGAUGAUGAUAAUGAUGACGGUGAUGAUGAUGAUGAUAACUUCAGUUCCCAAAAACUGUUCUCUCUGUAUGGAUCUUUCUGACUUGUUUUCAAAAUCAUUGAUGCAUACAUACACCCUCAUCAAUAACAUUUACAUGUAUAAAUUUGCUGUUACCAAUAUAAUACAUAAAUACAGUAUGUGAUGAAAUGAGCUUUUAUGCAAUACACUACUUAAUAAUUUGACCAUAUAAUACGCCUAGCACACAGAAAGCUCUUUGAAAUAUACAUGUAAUAUACAACAAUAUUUUCCCAAUCUAAAACUAUGGUAAUCUAGUACAUGAUGUUAAUAUAUAAUUUUUAUAGCUACUAAAUGUGAUGAGUACUGAGUUGAUGUGCUAUUUUUCUAAAUAUAAGUACAUAAAAUAGAGUGAUCAGCAUUUGUAAUUGAUACAGUACUUGUCAGACUACAGGCAUAAACAGUGUUUGAUAUGUAGUACAUCUCUAAUGAUGGAAUAUAGUAAAUGUCAAUUUCAUCAUAGUUUACAAUCUCAAUCUACACGUACAUUACAGUGUAGGUCACUGUCAUUAAAGGUUUAUACAUCAUUUACAUAUAUAUUUCUACACUACAUCCAUGUAGAGUGAAAUUUAUACAAUCUAUCAACACAAAAUAGUCAAAUAUCUUUCUUUGGUACUUUUGAUCUGCAAUUAAGUCAUUGCCAAUUAGAACGGGGUGAUGUUUGUACUAAGUCUACGUGACUCACAGAAUGCAGUUGUCAAUGGGUUAAAAAUGCAGACAUAAUGUGGGGAACAUAUUCUAAAUUCCCAUCAAAUAACAUAGAGGGGGGAGAGGUGCAUAUAGCAGAUAGAAGAAAUAAGGAGAAAGGAAAAGAGGAAGAAGAUAGAAAUUUAGAAUUCAUUGCAUCCAUAGAUAAAGUACCACUUUAGAGCACAUAAAUUUCAACCAAAGUUCAGAAUUCAAUCCUGUAUUUGGACACUUGUAAGCUAUGGUAACAUUUUAAGUAAUAAUAAAAAACCACAACAAUAGCAGGAAAAUAUCCCAUUCAAACAUUAAACAAUGUUCUUAGGGAAGAUGCUGAUUUAUAUAUAUUUCAUUCACUUUGUUAAGUAUAGUGUAUACUACACAAAUAAUUUAUCUUGCAAAGGAGCAACGGAAAGACAUGUAAAUGAAAUACAUUAUUGAUUCAUACACAUACAUGUAUCAUUGUAUAGUCUUAAGUAUAAGUACCUGUAAUUUGUCAAUUAUUGCAUUUCAUACUCAUACAAAAAAAUAUAUAUACAGCAUAUAUCGAGAUGUAUGAUUAUCAAGAAAGAUGAAUAUUAAUGGCAGUAAUUAUAAAAAUAAGAAACCUUUCUUGCAUACAAAAGAAAGGUGAAUCAAUAAAAAUAUGAUGUACAUAUGUAGAGAAUAAGUAAUAAGAUUGUUCAUUGUGGAGUUAAAAAAGACAAAUUAUUGAAACAAAAUGACACAAUAUAAACCUAUAAUCUAUAAACAAUUUGUACAAAAUAUAAAUAAAAUUAUAAGUCUUUAAAAAACAUUGUUCUAUUUUUAUAGACAUUUCUGAAUCCUCAUGAUGAAAUAUUCAUAUCUUGUAUCAUGAGACAAGACAACAUUGAGAAGAUUUGCUGGUGUCACUUCUUUUAAAAAAGUGUUCUCUGAGCCAUGUUUUAUUUAAACGAAUUACCUACAAUGUUACCUAAGGGGCUCUGCUCUUCAAACAUAUUUUGUUCAUGAUUAGUUUCUAAUAUGUAUUAUUUUUUACAAAUGUAAUGCUUUUUUCAGUCAAUGUGUAUAUUUGUUUCGAUAAACAAACAAACAAAACGAGUUCAACCUUGAAUAGUGUGUUUGCAUACAUAUGUAUCUUGACUUAAUUUUAUUACAAGUUUGAAAUGAUCAUGUCUUUGUAGGGGACUUUUAAGUUGAAAAUUACACACUUUCAUUUCUGAAUUAUGAGUUCAGGGUGGAUCUCUUGGAAGAUUGACCAAUUAUUAAAUGAGUUGACUUUGGACAAAUGUAUAGAAUCUACAUAAAAAAAUAUCAAACUGUAUUUUGCAAAAUAUGAAGCAUUUGGUGCAAUACACAUGGGCAUCAAAGCAGCAGAGGAUUAUUUUUUUCUCAUCUCAUCUAUUUUUUUUUUGGGGGGGACGCAACAAUAGAUGCCCCCCCCCAAAAAAAAGGAAGAUAAUCCUUUGCACCGACGCCCAUGGUAAUAACAUACCAUGUGUACAUGUAUGCAAAUUAAAUGACUGAGAAAAGCAUAAUAAUUCAAAGUAAAAUCAACUCAUUUCAUCAAAACUUUAAGACUGUACAUCUGUCUGAUAUACUCCUAUUAAUUUGUCUCAUUUUGACAAAAUAAAUAUUUGUGUAACAUGU